ACCAGACUCCUACGGGAGGCAGCAGUGGGGAAUAUUGCACAAUGGGGGAAACCCUGAUGCAGCGACGCCGCGUGAGUGAAGAAGUAUUUCGGUAUGUAAAGCUCUAUCAGCAGGGAAGAAAAUGACGGUACCUGACUAAGAAGCCCCGGCUAACUACGUGCCAGCAGCCGCGGUAAUACGUAGGGGGCAAGCGUUAUCCGGAUUUACUGGGUGUAAAGGGAGCGUAGACGGUGAUGCAAGUCAGAAGUGAAAGCCCGGGGCUCAACUCCGGGACUGCUUUUGAAACUGUGUGACUGGAGUGCAGGAGAGGUAAGCGGAAUUCCUGGUGUAGCGGUGAAAUGCGUAGAUAUCAGGAGGAACACCGGUGGCGAAGGCGGCCUGCUGGACUGCGACUGACGUUGAGGCCCGAAAGCGUGGGGAGCAAACAGGAUUAGAUACCCGCGUAC
rnacentral:rRNA from 1 species